rnacentral:rRNA from 1 species
GCUUGUCUCAAAGAUUAAGCCAUGCAUGUCUAAGUAUAAACAACUUUGUACUGUGAAACUGCGAAUGGCUCAUUAAAUCAGUUAUAGUUUAUUUGAUGGUGCUUACUACAUGGAUAACCGUGGUAAUUCUAGAGCUAAUACAUGCGCAAAAGACCCGACUGUUUGGGAGGGUUGUAUUUAUUAGAUACAAAACCAAUGCGGAGCAAUCCGGUUUUUGGCGAGUCAUAAUAACUUUGCGGAUCGCAUGGCCUUGCGCCGGCGAUGAAUCAUUCAAAUUUCUGCCCUAUCAACUUUCGAUGGUAAGGUAUUGGCCUACCAUGGUUACCACGGGUAACGGGGAAUUAGGGUUCGGUUCCGGAGAGGGGGCCUGAGAAAUGGCCACCACAUCCAAGGAAGGCAGCAGG